GCUCGUCUGGGCAGCAAAUAUGCUAAAUUGGAAUAAUACAGAGAAAAUUCACAUGGCCUUUGCCCAAGGAAGAUCCAAUUGGCAAAACUCAAUUUC
rnacentral:snRNA from 1 species